ACUUACAGCCAAACACAAGUUUAAAUGAUUUAUCACAUCAGGCUCUCAUCCAGAAAAUUGAUGGUAUUGUAUUCAUUGACAUGUAUCUCUGCCAAGGCUCAAGUAGUAACAAGCUACUGUUUAAUUUAGUAAAAAAUUCUGAUAAAUUGGGAAUGGAAAUGGACUAUUUCUGUGGCACAUUGCUAUACAUGGAAAGCUUCCACAGUAGCGUUACAGAAUGAGGCUCGAUCUAGUUCAUUCCCAUAGAGAGGAACUCUAGAGGCUGUGUUUAAAGGGAUUCUGUAAAGUAAGGAAAUGGACAUCUUCUGGGUAAAUUUUCUGUUGUCUAGCUAUACAAUUUUUAAAAUAACAGGCAAAUUUUAACCUGGAUUUCUGAAAGGUGAGAAGCAUUAGCCUGAAAGGCUUUAUUUAUUUGUUUGCUUGUUUGUUUAUUCUCCAAAGCUUGGUUGGCAUGUAAAUGAUGGAAUUUGGCCUGCAGUAUUGAUUGCUGUAUCAGAAAACAAUUUGCAAAUCCUUUAGUUGAUCUUUUUUUUUUUCAACCGCACACCACCCAUGAUCUAGAAGUUAAACUGUUUGUGCCCUUAUGCUCUCAGUAUGAUAUGAACCAAACUAAACCACACCAAGACUCUCUGUGGUGUUCUGUGGCAUUAGCAUUGUUUGCCAGGCAAUGUGUGGAGUCCCAUUACCACAGGUCUGGGCCUUCCUGAUGUACCUGAAGUGUUCACACCUCAGUGGCAUAUGUGGCACAGAAUGAGAUUGUGCAUGCUGGAACUGGCAGCUGGAGCCAGUAAGCACCUGUGGGUAAGUGUCUGAAUAAGUCCCUUCCUCUCUGUUUUCUCAGGCAGCAAUUUCUUUUGAACAAGACCAAUGCAUCUGCUCCAUUCCGUGGCCCUGAUGGAACUGAUAACGGAUAACAACAAAUGAUGUUUUUUCUACUUCUCUCAUAUGUAAAAUGCCAGGAGAUGGACGCAGACCAGGAUACCUUGUGGUGAUGUCUGCUAAAUAAAUAAAGUGCUCCCAGUGACACUGGAGUG
ensembl:lncRNA